AUUGAACGCUGGCGGCAGGCCUAACACAUGCAAGUCGAGCGGGGGUUUUCGGACCUAGCGGCGGACGGGUGAGUAAUGCGUAGGGAGCUGCCCGAUAGAGGGGGGAUACCAGUUGGAAACGACUGUUAAUACCGCAUAAUGUCUACGGACCAAAGUGUGGGACCUUCGGGCCGACAUGCUAUCGGAUGCGCCUACGUGGG
rnacentral:rRNA from 1 species